rnacentral:rRNA from 1 species
GUCCCCAUCUAAGUGCCCUGGAACGGGCCGUCAUAGAGGGUGAGAAUCCCGUAUGGGAUGGGGUGCCCGCGCCCGUGUGAAGCUCCUUCGACGAGUCGAGUUGUUUGGGAAUGCAGCUCUAAUUGGGUGGUAAAUUUCAUCUAAAGCUAAAUAUUGGCCGGAGACCGAUAGCGCACAAGUAGAGUGAUCGAAAGAUGAAAAGCACUUUGAAAAGAGAGUUAAAAAGCACGUGAAAUUGUUGAAAGGGAAGCGCUUGCGAUCAGACUCGCCUGCGGGGUUCAGCCGGCCUUCGGGCCGGUGUACUUCCCCGCGGGCGGGCCAGCGUCGGUUUGGGCGGCCGGUCAAAGGCCCCUGGAAUGUAACGCCUCUCGGGGCGUCUUAUAGCCAGGGGUGCCAUGCGGCCUGCCCGGACCGAGGAACGCGCUUCGGCUCGGACGCUGGCAUAAUGGUCGUAAGCGACCCGUCUUGAAACACGGACCAAGGAGUCUAACAUCUACGCGAGUGUUCGGGUGUCAAACCCGUACGCGCAGUGAAAGCGAACGGAGGUGGGAACCCUCACGGGUGCACCAUCGACCGAUCCUGAUGUCUUCGGAUGGAUUUGAGUAA